GGGCGGUUAGCUCAGCGGUAGAGCACCUCGUUGACGUCGAGGGGGUCACAUGUUCAAUUCAUGUACCGCCCACCA
rnacentral:tRNA from 1 species